rnacentral:rRNA from 1 species
AGAUUGAACGCUGGCGGCAGGCCUAACACAUGCAAGUCGAGCGGCAGCACGGGUACUUGUACCUGGUGGCGAGCGGCGGACGGGUGAGUAAUGCCUAGGAAUCUGCCUGAUAGUGGGGGAUAACGCUCGGAAACGGACGCUAAUACCGCAUACGUCCUACGGGAGAAAGCAGGGGACCUUCGGGCCUUGCGCUAUCAGAUGAGCCUAGGUCGGAUUAGCUAGUUGGUGGGGUAAUGGCUCACCAAGGCGACGAUCCGUAACUGGUCUGAGAGGAUGAUCAGUCACACUGGAACUGAGACACGGUCCAGACUCCUACGGGAGGCAGCAGUGGGGAAUAUUGGACAAUGGGCGAAAGCCUGAUCCAGCCAUGCCGCGUGUGUGAAGAAGGUCUUCGGAUUGUAAAGCACUUUAAGUUGGAGAAGGCAGUUACCUAAUACGUAUCUGUUUUGACGUUACCGACAGAAUAAGCACCGGCUAACUACGUGCA